UCAGAGAUGACAAACAGGAAAUCCUGUUGUCACCAAGUGGCAUGUGGUCGGUGUGCAGCUCCAGCCACCUUAUCCAUCUUUUGUUUGUGUCUUGGAAAAAAUAGUUUAAACUACAUCCAUGUCCUUGCCAGACCACAGAGAUGAGCGAACCCGAGGACUGAUGUAACAAGGUUAGUUGUGACUGUUAUGUCAAGGCAACGUAAAGG